CCUUAGAGUUUGAUCCUGGCUCAGGAUGAACGCUGGCGGCGUGCCUAACACAUGCAAGUCGAGCGAUUCUCUUCAGAGAAGAGCGGCGGACGGGUGAGUAACGCGUGGGUAACCUGCCCUGUACACACGGAUAACAUACCGAAAGGUAUGCUAAUACGAGAUAAUAUACUUUUAUCGCAUGGUAGAAGUAUCAAAGCUUUUGCGGUACAGGAUGGACCCGCGUCUGAUUAGCUAGUUGGUAAGGUAACGGCUUACCAAGGCGACGAUCAGUAGCCGACCUGAGAGGGUGAUCGGCCACAUUGGAACUGAGACACGGUCCAAACUCCUACGGGAGGCAGCAGUGGGGAAUAUUGCACAAUGGGCGAAGGCCUGAUGCAGCAACGCCGCGUGAGCGAUGAAGGCCUUCGGGUCGUAAAGCUCUGUCCUCAAGGAAGAUAAUGACGGUACUUGAGGAGGAAGCCCCGGCUAACUACGUGCCAGCAGCCGCGGUAAUACGUAGGGGGCUAGCGUUAUCCGGAAUUACUGGGCGUAAAGGGUGCGUAGGUGGUUUCUUAAGUCAGAGGUGAAAGGCUACGGCUCAACCGUAGUAAGCCUUUGAAACUGGGAAACUUGAGUGCAGGAGAGGAGAGUGGAAUUCCUAGUGUAGCGGUGAAAUGCGUAGAUAUUAGGAGGAACACCAGUUGCGAAGGCGGCUCUCUGGACUGUAACUGACACUGAGGCACGAAAGCGUGGGGAGCAAACAGGAUUAGAUACCCUGGUAGUCCACGCCGUAAACGAUGAGUACUAGCUGUCGGAGGUUACCCCCUUCGGUGGCGCAGCUA
rnacentral:rRNA from 1 species